GCCGGGUGCAGUGGCGCGCGCCUGUAAUCCCAGCUACUCAGGAGGCUGAGGCAGAAGAAUCGCUUGUACCGGGGAGGCAGAGGUUGCAGUGAGCCAAGAUCUUGAUCGUGCCACUGCACUCCAGCCUGGGUGACCAGAGCGAGACUCUGUCUCAA
rnacentral:SRP_RNA from 1 species